GGCACGGACACAGAGGGUGAGUCUGUGAGCAGAUUCCUUUCCCUGCUUGGGGUUGAGAAGCUUGUUUCAGGGUGAGCCUUUUCUGGUUUGUUCUUAGCCUGUCCUGGAGGUGGGUCUGGCUGUGCUGGAGCUGUACCAGCCUCAGUAAGGGCUGUCCUAACCUGGCCUGGGUUGGGGGGCUGCCCUGCUCUGUGAGGUGAGAAACUCCAGCCUGUAUUGUUUUCUGUCAUUCUGAAAGAGUGCCCUGGGAAUGCUAUCUGAGCUUAAAUCCUAAGGCAGAAGGGGGGGUAUUUGGAAAGCAGCCUUGGAGCAUGUUUGGAGUCAUCUCCGCUGCUUCCUUAUUUAAACUGGCAAAGAUUUUGCAAGAAAGAUGUCUGCUUUCAUUCAAUGGAGAGCAGUGUAUCUCAGGAAACACCAAAGGAGGUGGAACUUCCCCACGUGUGGUGUGAGCAGUGCAAGGGGUCGGUGUUGGGAGGCAAUGCAGACAACUGGAUUCAGAAUUCCAUGCAACGGGGAUGUUUGUGGCACCAUCCUGAGCUGGGGCAGCUUCUUCAUUUACAACAGCAUCAGCAGUUUGCUGUGUGUGGUGCCAAGCUGGUGCUGUUCACGGCUCUGUGUUACACAGAGGUGGAGAGUUACCACACCAACAGCAGCACAUGGCCUCCCAGGGGGCUCCUGUUUGGCAGGGCUGGGCUGAGCCCUGGGUCUGAGCCCACAGGGAGAAGUGCUCCCUGGAUCCCUCAGUGCUUGUUCAGCCUUCUCCUGCUGCAACCGAGACUGGAAGAGCCUGCCUCUUGGUCUCUGAUGCCAGACAAGGAUAACUUCUGGGUGAUGAGCUGGUUCUGAUUGCCCAGUUCUGAUUGCAUCUCUCUGCCAGGUCCCAGCUGAGGUUGCUGGUGGGGGUGAUGGCAGCUCACCGGCAGCUCUUCCCUACUCCAGGCCUGCUGCUCUGUGUCUUGGCUCUGCAAUUCUGCACCCAGGGCCCUCUUGCCAUAGCAGGGCGCAAAGUGGUCAACAUGUCCAUAGUCACCACCCAUGCCUCGGUGGCUGCCACCAGUGCCUCAAUGUCCACAACCAACCAGGCAUCCAUGGCCACCAACCAGACCUCAGUGGCCACCAACCAGACCUUAGUGACCACCUACGACCAGGCAUUGGUGGCCACCAACCAGACCUCAGUGGCCACCUCCAACCAGGCAUCAGUAGC
ensembl:lncRNA